AGCUGGAGGAUUAGCCUAAUGAGCCGCGGCGCCGGCCCAAAAAAAUCUUUAGUUGGGGGUCAUCACUGCGCUAAAGCUGUGUGCUUGUGAUAUCUGCAUCCCAUAUUGGAGUACCAGUUCAAGUCCUAGUUGCUCCAUUUCUGGUCUAGCUCCCUGCUGCUGUACCUGGGGAAUUAAAAAAGGCUCAACUACUUGAAACUGCCAUCCACAUGGGAGACGGGGAUGGAGUUUGAGCUCCAGGUUUUGGCCUGGCAAAGUGCAGUUCAUUAUGUUCAUUUGGGGAAGUGAACUAGAGUUAGAGGAGUUCUCUCUGUCUUUGUCCUUCUGUCUUUCAAAAAUAAAUAAAAAAGUCUUUAAAGCAGAUUAAAAUCCUUAUAUGAUGAUAAUUUCAGUUUGUUUUCCAUGUUUCAUUUCUGAAUUCAGCUUUUACUUUUUAAAUUUUUCUUUUUUAAUAUUAACAUUUCAUAUACUCUGAUACUUUUAAUCUUCUCUAUCCACAGGUGGAAUACCAUCCCCAUCUCAAUCAGAGCAAACUGCUGGAUUUCUGAAAAUCAAAAUAUGUUGUUCUGGUUGCCUAUGGUGCUCUGGGAUCAAGUCAAGAUCCAAAAUGGUGUUUGAAUUUCAGUUGUCUUCAGAGGACAUGAAAGCUCUGGAUGGCCCGAACAAAAAUCUUCACUAUUAUCCAGCUGAUAUCUUUAUUGGACACCCAAAUUGCCCACAUUCUGAUGAAUAUGAAUGUGGAGACCUUUCCCAUGAUUCUGCUGCAAGUUCUCCCACAUGUGUCAUGGGGCAGGAGACGUCCCAGAUGCUGGUGACUGGGCAACUCUCUUCUGGUUAAUCUAUGCUGCGUAGCAACUGACCCUCAGCUGGAGCUGUGUCUGCUGGGUAUAAAGUCAUGGCUACAACUUUUUCUCAUUACAGAAAAUAAUAUAAUCUUGUUGUAUUGAAGACUUUUACCUACUGCUGAUUUUAUUUCUCACCUGCUUUCUUUCAUUCUGAUUCAUUAGUUCCUCAAACUGAUUUUCCUAGAAGUCUGUGGACUGUGGUGAGAGAUGAUAACGGACAGCCCACAGAUGUUGCUGGGAUUCAUGUGCGAAGCACUGUCAGUCUGUAGAGCAGUUAACAAAGACUUUUCACACAUGGCUUCUCCAAUGCUUCCCGGAACAAGAAAAUUCACUGUAUAAAUCCC